AAGAAGAAUGCGGACCCCGGUUCCUUCCAAAACUACAGACCUAUUUGCCUAAUAAAAACCUUGUUUAAGUCUAUAGAGGGGUUGAUAAAGUUAAAACUGGACGAACAUAUUACAAGGCAUGAGCUUCUGCCGGUCAGAUCAUACGCCUUCAGGAGGAACAGGUCCACGGCGCUCUGCAUCAACGACCUGAUCAACGAGGUCCUGGCUCUGAAAGCGAGAGGGAAUCAGGUCGUGGCGGCCUGUCUUGACC
rnacentral:lncRNA from 1 species